rnacentral:rRNA from 1 species
UACGAAGGGGGCUAGCGUUGCUCGGAAUUACUGGGCGUAAAGCGCGUGUAGGUGGUGGGACAAGUCUGCUGUGAAAGCGCCUGGCUUAACCGGCGAGGUCGGCGGAAACUGUCCGACUCGAGGACGGUAGAGGGGGUGGAAUUCCCGGUGUAGUGGUGAAAUGCGUAGAGAUCGGGAGGAACACCUGUGGCGAAGGCGGCCCCCUGGGCCGGCCCUGACACUGAGACGCGAAGGCGUGGGAGCGAACGGG